GACGAACGCUGGCGGCGUGCUUAACACAUGCAAGUCGAACGGAAAGGCCCUGCUUUUGUGGGGUGCUCGAGUGGCGAACGGGUGAGUAACACGUGAGUAACCUGCCCUUGACUUUGGGAUAACUUCAGGAAACUGGGGCUAAUACCGGAUAGGAGCUCCUGCUGCAUGGUGGGGGUUGGAAAGUUUCGGCGGUUGGGGAUGGACUCGCGGCUUAUCAGCUUGUUGGUGGGGUAGUGGCUUACCAAGGCUUUGACGGGUAGCCGGCCUGAGAGGGUGACCGGCCACAUUGGGACUGAGAUACGGCCCAGACUCCUACGGGAGGCAGCAGUGGGGAAUAGUGCACAAUGGGCGGAAGCCUGAUGCGGCAACGCCGCGUGCGGGGUGACGGCCUUCGGGUUGUAAACCGCUGUCGCCUGUGACGAAGCGUGAGUGACGGUAAUGGGUAAAGAAGCACCGGCUAACUACGUG
rnacentral:rRNA from 1 species